rnacentral:misc_RNA from 1 species
AACGCACAUUGCGCCUGCUAGUAUUCUGGCAGGCAUGCCUGUUCGAGCGUCAUUUCAACCCUCAAGCCUUGGUUGCUUGGUGUUGGGGCGACUGCAGCCCUGCUGCAGGCCCUGAAAACAAGUGGCGGACCCCUAAGGCACCCCAGCGUAGUAAUUUUUCUUAGCUGAGGGCUCCCUGUGGAUGUCCUGCUGGUGGCAGUACCACCUACUAUAAACUUUGGUUGACCUCGGAUCAGGUAGGAAUACCCGCUGAACUUAA